rnacentral:rRNA from 1 species
GGUUCGAUCAUGGCUCAGAUUGAACGCUGGCAGGAUGCUUUACAUAAGUCGAACUGGCAGCACGGACUUCGGUCUGGUGGCGAGUGGCGACGGUGAUAAUGUAUCGGAACGUGCUGGUACGCGAGGGAUAACUGCGCUGACGUAGCUAAUACCGCAUACGCCCUUCGGGGAAAAGCGGGGGACCUUCGGCCCUCACUAUUAGAGCGGCCGAUAUCGGAUUGGCUAGUUCGGUGGGGUAACGGCUCGCAAGGCGACGAUCCGUAGCUGGUUUGAGAGGACGACCAGCCACACUGGGACUGAGACGGCCCAGACUCCUACAGGGAGGCAGCGGUGGGGAAUUUUGGACAAUGGGGAAAGCCUGAUCAGCCAUCCCGCGUGUGCGUGAAGGCCUUCGGGUUGUAAAGCACUUUUGGCAGGAAAGAAACGGCGCGGGAUAAUACCCCAUUGCAACUGACUGACACCUGCCAGAAUAAGCACCGGCUAACUACGUGCAGCAGCCGCGGUAAUACGUAAGGAGGUGCAAGCGUUAAUCGGAAUUACUGGGCGUAAAGCGUGCCGAACAGGUUCGGAAAAGAAAGAUGUGAAAUCCAGAGCUUAACUUUGAACUGCAUUUUAACUACCGAGCUAGAAGUGUCAGAGGGAGGUGGAAUUCCGCGUGUAGCAGUGAAAUGCGUAGAUAUGCGGAGGAACACCGAUGGCGAGCAGCCUCCUGGGAUAACACUGACGCUCAUGCACGAAGAAAGCGUGGGAGCAAACAGGAUUAGAUACCUGGUAGUCCACGCCCUAAACGGUAUCAGCAGCUGUUGGGCCCGGGCCUUGGUAACAGCUAACGCGUGAAGUUGACCGCCUGGGGAGUACGGUCGCAAGAUUAAAGAGCUCAAAAGGAAUUGAUGGCGAGGUUACCCUGGCGGUGGAUGAUGGAUUAGUUGAAGUACAGCGCGAAAAUACCACCAUAUGGCAUGCAGAGUCCAGUGAAGAGAUUUGGUGCUCCUGCAAGAGAACCGGAACACAGGUGCACACUGUGGCUGUCGUCAGCUCGUCAAUGAGGAUGUUGGGUUCAGGUCCCCCAACUGGCACAACGUAUUGGUUACUGCGAGGGCGCUCUAAUGAGACUGCAGAAGUGAUAAAGUGACGAAGUCAGGAUGACGUCAGUCCUCAUGGCUGGCCCCAUAUGGGUAGGCUUCUUACCGUCAUCUGUUGUGGGUGGUCGGGUUGGGGUCGCCUGGCCCGCCUGAGGCCAAUCCCAAAGCCCGAUCGUCAGUCAGGAUAUGAUCUGCUGCUCGGCUAAUGAAGUCAGGAAUCUUCGUAAUCGCGGAUCAGCAUGUCGCGGUGAAUACGUUCCCGGAAUUCAUUACCACCGCCCGUCACACCCAUGGGAGUGGGUUUUACCGGUAGUUAGCCUAACCGUAAGGGCGAUUCUACACAGUGGAUUCAUGACUGGGGUGAAGUCUUAUGAGGC